rnacentral:rRNA from 1 species
UGAACGCUGGCGGCGUGCCUCAUACAUGCAAGUCGAGCGACCAGACGAGGAGCUUGCUCCUCUGACGUUAGCGGCGGACGGGUGAGUAACACGUGGAUAACCUACCUAUAAGACUGGGAUAACUUCGGGAAACCGGAGCUAAUACCGGAUAAUAUAUUGAACCGCAUGGUUCAAUAGUGAAAGACGGUUUUGCUGUCACUUAUAGAUGGAUCCGCGCCGCAUUAGCUAGUUGGUAAGGUAACGGCUUACCAAGGCGACGAUGCGUAGCCGACCUGAGAGGGUGAUCGGCCACACUGGAACUGAGACACGGUCCAGACUCCUACGGGAGGCAGCAGUAGGGAAUCUUCCGCAAUGGGCGAAAGCCUGACGGAGCAACGCCGCGUGAGUGAUGAAGGUCUUCGGAUCGUAAAACUCUGUUAUUAGGGAAGAACAAAUGUGUAAGUAACUAUGCACGUCUUGACGGUACCUAAUCAGAAAGCCACGGCUAACUACGUG